GACGAACGCUGGCGGCGUGCUUAACACAUGCAAGUCGAACGGAAAGGCCCUUCGGGGUACUCGAGUGGCGAACGGGUGAGUAACACGUGGGUGAUCUGCCCUGCACUUUGGGAUAAGCCUGGGAAACUGGGUCUAAUACCGAAUAGGACCACGCGCUUCAUGGUGUGUGGUGGAAAGCUUUUGCGGUGUGGGAUGGGCCCGCGGCCUAUCAGCUUGUUGGUGGGGUAAUGGCCUACCAAGGCGACGACGGGUAGCCGGCCUGAGAGGGUGACCGGCCACACUGGGACUGAGAUACGGCCCAGACUCCUACGGGAGGCAGCAGUGGGGAGUAUUGCACGAUGGGCGCAAGCCUGAUGCAGCGACGCCGCGUGAGGGAUGACGGCCUUCGGGUUGUAAACCUCUUUCAAUAGGGACGAAGCGCAAGUGACGGUACCUAUAGAAGAAGCACCGGCCAACUACGUGCCAGCCGCCGCGGUAA
rnacentral:rRNA from 1 species